AAGUCGUAACAAGGUUUCCGUAGGUGAACCUGCGGAAGGAUCAUUCAUAAUAAAAGUGUUUUAUGGCACUUUUCAAACAAAUCCAUAUCCACCUUGUGUGCAAUGUUUUUUUUUUUUUUAAAUAAACACUUUAUUUUUUAAUUGCCAAUUUAUCUGAAGAUCAGUAUUAUUAUGAAUUAACUUAAUUCAAAAUAUAACUUUCAACAACGGAUCUCUUGGCUCUC
rnacentral:misc_RNA from 1 species